rnacentral:lncRNA from 1 species
AAUUGCAGAAAUAGUGCACAACAAGAAAAUAAGUACAAAGUUGCUACUUCAUAACCAGUGAAAACAUAAUAAUUUACAUAAAUACAUAAAGAUAUACACAAGCAUAUUAACUCAGUUUUUACUUUCGCAGGUGUCCGGAUGAUACCUACGAUCGUUUGUGGUGGCCAUCAAACGGUACCUCACGGUGGCUGAAUCUAUCGACAACAAGUGAAAUUAAACGUUAUUUAACUGAUACAGCUGAGGUGCCAAUUAGAGUGCUCCAAACUGCCGUCACCUCGCUUACCACCUCCAUCCCUCUCAACUUGUCGUGGGCAGUUCCUUCUGCCUGGCCGGCCAUGGCACCGCCUGGGUACUACCUCAAUUUGUAUUAUACUGAUUUCCAGAAUCAGAGCAGGCGGGAAUUUGAUAUAUAUUACAAUGGCUUCCUGUGGGAGACAAAUAAUCGGCCGGUCAGCCCAACCUAUCUCUUUGCAGACUAUACAGCUGCCACAGCUCUAUUCACUGAUGCCAGCGGUUUCUACAAUGUCUCCAUAAUCGCUACCAACACCUCUGUGCUCCCUCCCAUACUAAGUGCAUACAAGAUAUACUAUCUCAUCCAGCAUGAUGAUACCGCAACCGAUACACAAGAUGGUACGUCCAGAUUCCGAUCUCCCUCGGUUCCAGCCAACGGAGAAGAGUUCUCUGCAUAAUUGUGAAGUCAUGAUUUGCCAUUUUCACAUGUGUUAAGAGAAAAUGAUAAAUACGAAGAUGCAAAGAGAAACAGCUAAGACCUAUUCUGAAUUAAAAAAAAGGCAAGAAAUUUAGGAUAAUGUCUGGUUCACCAUAGGGUCCUACAGAUGAUACACUUCACACCAUUCCAAAUAUUGAGACGUAAAGUCAUUUGUGCAAACACGAACACGGCAGGUAUCCAGUACAAAAGCCAAUUUUGGGCACAAAGCAACUUUUGGCUAGGUAUCGGAUCAACACUUACUUUCUUACAAAUAAGUUCUAGAUGUAGUUCAUGGUGUGUGGUGCCAUUCUUUAAAAUUAAACUUCAAAUUAACAGUGUGUUAGAAGACAAGACAAGUUUGCUCAGAACACAUCUACCUUUCAUUUAAUUUUCCUAUCCUUUUUAUUUAUAACUUGUCAGAAUUUUCUUACCUUUUCUACUCUUUAUAUAGAUUAUGUUGAAUAAACGUAAACUUGAAACACUAAAUGUAUAAGGCUAGUAAUUUUCAGAAUUUUCAUGCUGAUUUGGUACUUAAACUAAAUCUUUGCACUUCUGUACCAGAUACCUAUGCAACAUUCAGCUUCUUGAACUUCUCACUUGUUUCUCUUCAUUGCAAAUGAUUUUCCAUCCUAACUAGCUGCACAUAACUAUAUGUACUUCAUGUGUUCAUUCACAACUUUUCCAAUGCUAUUUGGUAAAGGAUGGGGACAUGUAUCUCUACUCGGGAAUAGUAAUUGCAUUUGCCCCUACCGAUUUCCAAGUUUAUCAAUUACUUUAAUCAGGACCCUGUAGCCCUUCUUUCAAGGGGUUACAACCAGCACCAUCUCUGCAUUUCAUGUGUACUUCAUACAACAAUCAUAUAUACUGCUAAUACUUCACACAUCAUGUGUAUAUUCAUUGUAAUUUCAGACUGGUUUUAAUUCUGAAAUCUGAAUAGGUAAAGAAAUCUUUAAACUGAAGAAGAAAAGGAGAAACAUCACAGAUAACUCACAUAGGAAUACCAGAUUGUAGUAUGCAUUGCAAAUUAAUAACUUCUUUUCAGUUCAUAAGGUUAAUAGGGUUGUCCCUAAUUAUACUAUUGUAGUAUAUGCUAAUUUCAUGCUUUCUUCUAUCAUUUUUAUUCUACUUAGUUGAAGCAAUGAUGAAUAUCAAAAGUGAAUACCAAGUUGAGAAGAACUGGAUGGGUGACCCAUGUUUACCCGAAAAAUAUACAUGGAUUGGAUUGACAUGUAGAGGUGAUGGAGUGACAUCAAGAGUAAAAAGUUUGUAAGUCUAUGGUUAAUUUUGCUCAUACUACUUUCGAAUUAAUAAAGCUGGCACUGAAUUUUGGUUCCAAGUGUGUGAGAUUAUCCAGAUUUAAACCCUAACUCUAAAUCAUCCAGCGGAUUAAUUAUUGUUUUUCCAACAUAGUAGCACUAACAGAGCACAUCAUUUUUUCAGGGACAUGUCCAACAGUGAUUUGCAAGGUGCAAUAUCUGAACAAUUUUCUUUUUUGAAAUCACUCCAAUACUUGUGAGUAUAAUUUUAUAAAAGUUUGUUUUCUUAGUUAAUAGCUCAAAAUUCUGCUAGUAAGUGGUAUGUUUUCAAAAUCUAUUUCAGGAAUUUGUCAUUCAAUAAUUUAUAUGGACCAGUGCCUGAUUCUUUGACAAACUUAUUGUCCCUUCGUGUCCUGUAAGUCCUAUACUUUGGCAGUUUAUGAAACAAGGCAGUCAUAUAGAUUGAUAGGGGAUGAUUUGUUGUCUUUUUUUUCUGCAGCGAUCUAUCAGGGAAUCAUCUUGAUGGUCCAAUUCCUGAAGCUUUAUGCAUGGCACGCUCACUUACUUUAAGGUUUGGAUCUCUUUCUUCUCUUUGAUUUUGCUCCAUAGAUGCUGAUACAAUUUUAAAGCAGACCUCCUUGAGACCGACUUGUAAGAAUUGGAAUGCAACAUCUACAGAUUUAGGGUGGAAUAAAAAGCAACAUAUUAAGUGUUUAUUUUUAGACUCGAUGUCUAGUAAAUCAACCUCUGGAACAUCCAUAUAUGCCUUCAUCCAAUUCAUUAGAGAAUUUUUUUAUGUAAUUUUAGGUAUGACACCAUAAAUGGAGAUCCAUGCAAUGGAAAAUCACCACAUAAGGAAAACACCCUCCUCAUAACUGUCGUAGCAGUACCCGUGGUGAUAAUGGCAUUGCUGGCAUGUACAUUGACAGUGUUUUGUUUCUGCAGAAAGCAAGGUAGAUAUAUGUCCUGUUAAUUCUUACAAAUUUGGUUUAUUUCAAGAUAUGAGUUCUAAUGAUUUCAACCUUUUCCCUUUGCUGCAACAAAUGAUCUAUCAAGAUACAGUUCCAAGUGUGCUACUGGGAUGUGUUGAUCUGCCAGGUCCCAAAAGUCAAGAAAACUGUAAAGGUCACAUACACACAUCCGACAGCCGUGAAUUCACAUAAGCAGAGUUGGUUGCAAUAACAAACAAUUUUUCCGCAUGCAUUGGUGAAGGAGGUUAUGGACCUGUCUUCCAUGGCCAAUUAAAAGAUGGUACUCAGGUUGCUGUCAAGAUGCAUUCUCCAACAUCAGCAACAGGAAAAGGAAUGGAAGAGUUUUUAGCUGAGGUAUUUAAUUUGAAUCUAUAGAGUAUGACAGGCAAUUUUUAUAAGUAUGCAUUCCAUGCAGAAUAUAGAUUCAAUUGUCCAAGGAUUUUUCAUGUUAUUCGUAGUAUACUGAAAAGAUUUGUGAAAUUACGGGUAUAUGAAGUUUGUAGAUCAUUAGGUAAGAUAAAAUAACAGGUGGAACUAAUAAAUGCAUAUCAAUAUUGUAACUUGCAAGGUGAAAGGGAUAACGAUUCCAUCACUUCCAUACAUAUAUCAUUUUGAAACUGACUUUCAGAACUAAAAACACUUCUGCAGGGUCUCAGACUCUAAAUUUAUUUUAUUUUAUUUUGUAGGUUGGGAGCUUAACAACCGUGCACCAUAGGUAUCUCGUUGUGCUGGUUGGCUACUGCACUGACAAGGACCAUUUAGCUCUAAUUUAUGAGUACAUGCCUAAUGGAAGUCUUUAUGAUAACAUACGAGGUUCGUAAUUUGCAAAUUCCAAAAUUAUAAUGCCGGACUUCCUUGCAAAAUCCCUUUCCUGAAGAAAAAAAAACUAUGAUUAGUAGUACUAUGUAUCAUUGUUCUUUAGAGAUCAUGCAAUGUACAAAACUAUUUACAUGAUUUUAAGCCUUCAUUAAAUGCAUCUUGUGUCACUCACUUUGCAACCGCAUCCGAUAAAUUGUUAGCUUUUACAACUUCAAUUGUGAUACUUCAGGCAGAAAUGCAAUUGUUCAGACACUGGGAUGGCAUGAUCGAGCACGGAUUGCACUUGAAGCUGCUCAAGGUGUACUCUGGAGGAAACACUGCAUUUCUUGAUUUUGCCAGUUAAAUGCACAAGCAAUAUAUGAUAACAUGUACUAUCUUACAUAGGUUUGGACUACUUGCACACGGGAUGCGUAUUACCAAUAACUCAUAGAGACUUGAAGGCGCACAACAUUCUUCUAGGACAUGACAUGGUUGCUAAGAUCUCAGAUUUUGGAUUGUCCAAGUCAUACAUCAAUGUGGCACAAAGUCACAUAUCUGUGACAGCUGCAGGAACUCUAGGCUACAUCGAUCCAGAGUUUGUUUUCAUACCUAUUCUCUUAGAAUCAUGUAAAAGUUAUUAGGAAGUAAAAAACACUUCACUAUAAAAAAAGGUGCAUUGAAUUAUAUUAUUUUUUACUAAAAUAAAGGCCUCAUAUUAGGCAAUCAGGCCUUUGUAAUGAACCCAUGCAUAUGUAAGCGUCUUCGAUUUAAACACCAAAUUAAUAUUAGAAGUUCCCACCAAAAUUAGUUGUGCCUCGCGAUUUACUAUAGCUGUGUACGAAAUAUCUAAGUUCAGACUCAUUGAAUGUUAUGAGUAACAAAAAUGUGGAAAAUCCGACAAAUGGCACAUUAAAUGAAAAAGAAAAACAUACAUACUAGUACAUCGUAAAAUAAAAAUAAAAGAUUGUGCAUAUUUGGUGCCUAAACUAGAAGUAGAUUGCAGCUGCACAGCAAAGGGUGAUUGCAUAUGAAUCCUGCUAACCAGGCAUUGUUGGCCUAUGUGUGCAUUGCUUCAUUUCUACUUAACUUCAUAAAAUUCAAAUGGUUUUCACAGAACGAACUAACCAGGCACAUUGGCCCAACUGCUCUUAUCUAGGUACUGUGUUAGCGGCAGGCUCACCACAAGCAGUGAUGUCUUCAGCUUUGGAGUGGUUUUACUAGAGAUUGUCACAGGUGAACCUCCAAUCUUGCCGACCCCUGUGCAUAUUGUGCAGCGUGUAAAGGAGAAGGUUAUCAUGGGCGAUAUUGAGGCAAUUGUUGAUCGAGGACUUCACUGUCAAUAUGACUUCAGUUCUAUUUGGAAGGUUGUGGACAUGGCCCUGCUUUGCACAAGAGAGGUAUCCAGUGAGAGGCCAACAAUGAGUAUGGUGGUGGCUCAGCUAAAGGACGCUCUAGCACUGGAAGAAUCACGUGUAAGUUCAAGCACCAUUAGCCAAGUCGGUUCUAAUGUGGACCUGUCAAUCAGCUGGGUAGCAUCAGGAAGAUGAAGCCUAAGUGAUCCAUUCUGAAAUUACUCUUUAAAUAUUGGUGUAUUCAUGGACAUUUGUGCCUGUCUAAUGGAGUCCUAGACACGUACGCUACAACUUGAGAGAUGUAUCUGUGACAUAUAGCAUAUCAUGCAUUCUGUAUCCUAUAGAACUAUGCAAUGUCUGAAAGUUUAGCUUUCUAGGUGAUGUCUUGAGAGUAUUUCAAAGGUCAAUCAGAAAUACUACCUGAAAAACCUAUAACAGGAUGUCAGAAUUGCCACUUCCAAGUUUGGAAGUUCUUCUGCAAACUGGAGCAAUAUGUAAAGCUUAAAAGAUUACCCGGGUCUGUAUUUUCUGUCACAUCUCUCCAGCAGAAUAUCCUGUUGCAUACAUACCAAACUCUGUUCAGGAGCAUCUACAAGCAAAUGAAAGACAGCUCUCCAAUGUUGAUGACAAAAAACAAGACGAAAUAUGAUGAAUUCUCAGUUGCUAAUACGAACAAGCACAAACCAUUCGAACCUGCAAUUCGCUAUUCACAGCUAAAAACGCCAGGAAUUCGAUUGAGCCCGAGUUAGCCCAUCUGGUGCGUAGCAAUGCAUAGCGAAAUCAUGCUGGAAAAUAGUACAACUGCAACACAUGGAUAUGGAUCAAAAUUUGAAGCAUUCGAUGAAUCAGGUUGCGGUGUAACCUACCUCGACAAGGAUACGCUACUGCAAACUGUGGCAGGAACUCGAAGCCUCGCCACCAGCACCAGAUGGGGGAACAUGGCCGCGGGGAAUCGGAGGGGAGCUGGCUAAUCUCGAUGGCCACCUGAGGCUGUGUAGGGCGUGGGCCGCGCCGCCGCGGGGCGCGCACCGCUCACUCUGGCGACUCGCAAGUCAACGCCCAAGGAAGCGUUUUUUUUU